rnacentral:misc_RNA from 1 species
UCCUGACUUCCUCCAAGGAUGGA